rnacentral:lncRNA from 1 species
UUCUGGGCUGCUGCAGUGUUGUGUUGGGGUAACUGUAUUAACUUCGUUUGAAUUUUCUUCCUGUUCUUUUGGAAUAAGUGUUGAUAGUUUGUGCUGCUUGUUCACCCCAGAGGCGAGGAUGUCCUUUAGGCCUGGAGGAGCACAGCCCCUGCAGGGAGGUGCCGGGCCUCUACCUCUCAUGUCAUCAGCAGCCCUCUCCACGUCUCCUCUUAGCUCCUCGUGCCUACGGCUGGGGUCACGGGCGCUUCGCUCUGCUGUUUGAGAUCCUCGGAAAAGAUGUUUGCCCUGAAGAGAGAUUGGGGGUGUGUGGCUGAUUUUAAAUAGGAGGAAAUGAUUGUAACAGAAUGAGCAAUGCCUAGCACUUAGUCUCAGGCUUGAGAAAUUGUGUUUUAGAAGCAAGGUAUCCCCAACUCCGGUUUCCUUCAAAUUAAAUCUUUUAAAGAGUCCACAAAUAUAAAUAGUUAAAGCCUAAAACUAUGCAACAGAGGGCCUAGAGCCCAAGCCACUGCCACCUCUGACUCCAAGACACCUCAAAAACUUGGCCCUCCUCCUCAGAGAACCCCCCUUCUGCUCCUCCUUCCACAGUGCUCCCUCCUCCCCCACCUCCUCCCUCCUCCUCCCCUCCUCCUCUUCCCUCCCCUUCUUCCUUCCCCUUCCCUUCUUCCUUCCUUCCUCUCCCCUUCUUCCUUCCUUCCUCUCCCCUUCUUCCUUCCUUCUCCCUUUCCUCCUCUCCCUUCCUCCUCUUCCUCCCUCUUCCUCCUCUUCCCCUCUUCCCCUCUUCCCCUCCCUGUCCUUGGGCAACCUCCAUGGAACUCUGGUUCAAAGUCACUGGUCUGUGGGGCCGCCCAUUUGAUAGAUGAGCACGCUGGGGACCAGACACAAGUGACUGACUCAGACCAGCUCGCAUGUCGUCUCCUCCCGUAACACCGGGUUGUCCCUAAUGGAAGAGAAUCAAUGAUGCUGCUUCACUGAUCUCCAGGGAAAACAGGUUGAUAACAGGUUAUAAACAUGGGAAUGUUUUGGAAAAAGCGUCGUCCACUUGUCAGCUCCAUCUCUCCUGCCCGGAAGAUGUAGGGGAAACCUGCCUUCAGCCCACCCUCAUCCCAUAACAGGACAGAGGACAAAGGGGCAGAGACCCAGGUCCUGUCAGUGCCCUCAGAAACCCCCAUUUCCUCCUCAUGGUGGAAGUGGAAACCAUCCCACUGGACUAGAUUUUCCCGGGAAGCCCCUUCACCCCGAAAGCAAGGAAUCUGGUUUGAGCACACACCAUUCUCGGUGCCAUGACUUUCUGCUGCUGAACCCUGCAUACGUGGCCCAUUGAUCUUGCUAGUCCAGUGUUACUGGGUCCUGGGAGUUUCUGUGGGCUGAUGGCAGGUGUUUACCAUUGUGUUCAGAGGGGAGAACAGAACUUUAUUUGUCGAAAUCAGAUGAUAACCAUUGCCAUGUGAUUCCUUGGGUUGGUUUGGGUGGGGGGUGCUCAAUGCUUUUCCUGAGGGCUAAGUUCUAGUUUGAGACCGUCUCUCUUUGUCGCCCAAGCUGGAGUGCAGUGGUGCGAUCUUGGCUCACUGCAACCUCCGCCUCCUGGUUUCAAGCAGUUCUCCCUGCCUCAGCCUCCCAAGUAGCUGGGAUUAUAGGUGUGUGCCACCACGCUUGGCUAAUUACAAAAAUAUUUAAUAUAGGCUGGGUUUUGCCAUAUUGGUCAGGCUGGUCUCGAACUCCUUGCCUCAAAUGAUCGGCCCACCUUGCCCUCCUAAAAUACUGGGAUUGCAGGCCAGUCUAUGUUUGAAAAUCAGUCUUGAAGAGCCUAGGAGGAGAGGGAUAAGCUUCAACUAGGUGAAUAACUAUGCAUAUGUUAAAAAUAUGGGCCAAAAUCUACCCCAAAUGUUAACUCUUCUGCUUUGCGUAUUAUAUCCAUUUAUAGUUAUUUCAGCACUAAGAUUUUUAAAGACUCUUUUGAUAAUUAUGGAGAAAUUACUAUUAAAACUCAGCUGCAUUUGUAACACUUCAAAGAACUAAUUGGAUGACAUCAUUUUUCCCAGAGGCAUUUUGGAUUGUUACAUAAUUAAUGUUUAUCUCUUUGCCAGAAAUCUUUUUUUUUUCUUUUCCAGAACAGAUACCUGAAAAGAAACUUUCCUUUGCAUUAAGUGUUAUUUCACUGUGUGACAAUCAAUUUUUGAACGUGAGAACAAGAUCAUCAUGUAUUUUUGGGAUACUUCUUGCUUAAUAGUGAUAAUGCUAAGUGUUAAAAUUAUGCAACAAUUUGUUUCUUUGAAAAUUACUAUUUGCCUGCUCACCAGGUGGGAGCUGAUGAGAACGUGGAUGUAAAAAUUAAAUUGUAUUUAGCUUGUAUAAAAGAAGUUUAAAAAAAAACUUUUUUUUUUUUGUUUUGUGCUACUACUGAAGUUGCUUCGUUGUGGAAAUGAGGUUAUUGCAGGC